UUUGAUCUCAAAUCGGGUAGGACUACCCGCUGAACUUAAGCAUAUCAAUAAGCGGAGGAAAAGAAACUAACAAGGAUUCCCCUAGUAACUGCGAGUGAAGAGGGAAAAGCUCAAAUUUGGAAUCUGGCGGUCCUUGUGGCUGUCCGAGUUGUAAUUUAGAGA
rnacentral:rRNA from 1 species